rnacentral:rRNA from 1 species
AGAGUUUGAUCCUGGCUCAGGACGAACGCUGGCGGCGUGCUUCACACAUGCAAGUCGAGCGGAAAGGCCCUUCGGGGUACUCGAGCGGCGAACGGGUGAGUAACACGUGAGUAACCUGCCCCUUGCACCGGGAUAGCUCCGGGAAACCGGAAUUAAUACCGGAUAUGACCACGGUCGGCAUCGACUGUGGUGGAAAGGAUUCUGGCAAGGGAUGGACUCGCGGCCUAUCAGCUAGUUGGUUGGGGUAACGGCCCACCAAGGCGACGACGGGUAGCCGGCCUGAGAGGGCGACCGGCCACACUGGGACUGAGACACGGCCCAGACUCCUACGGGAGGCAGCAGUGGGGAAUAUUGCGCAAUGGGCGAAAGCCUGACGCAGCGACGCCGCGUGGGGGAUGAAUGCCUUCGGGUUGUAAACCCCUUUCAGCAGGGACGAAGCGAGAGUGACGGUACCUGCAGAAGAAGCGCCGGCUAACUACGUGCCAGCAGCCGCGGUAACACGUAGGGCGCAAGCGUUGUCCGGAAUUAUUGGGCGUAAAGAGCUCGUAGGCGGUUCGUCACGUCCGCUGUGAAAACCUAGGGCUUAACCCUGGGCCUGCAGUGGAUACGGGCGAACUAGAGGUAGGUAGGGGAGAAUGGAAUUCCCGGUGUAGCGGUGAAAUGCGCAGAUAUUGGGAGGAACACCGGUGGCGAAGGCGGUUCUCUGGGCCUUACCUGACGCUGAGGAGCGAAAGCGUGGGGAGCAAACUGGAUUAGAUACCCUGGUAGUCCACGCCGUAAACGUUGGGCGCU